rnacentral:rRNA from 1 species
CCUACGGGAGGCAGCAGUAGGGAAUCUUCCACAAUGGGCGAAAGCCUGAUGGAGCAACGCCGCGUGGGUGAAGAAGGUCUUCGGAGCGUAAAACCCUGUUGUUAGAGAAGAAAGAGCGGGAGAGUAACUGUUCACGUAUCGACGGUAUCGAACCAGAAAGCCACGGCUAACUACGUGCCAGCAGCCGCGGUAAUACGUAGGUGGCAAGCGUUAUCCGGAUUUAUUGGGCGUAAAGGGAACGCAGGCGGUCUUUUAAGUCUGAUGUGAAAGCCUUCGGCUUAACCGGAGGAGGGCAUUGGAAACUGGGAGACUUGAGUGCAGCAGAGUAGAGUUGAACUCCAUGUGUAGCGGUGUCAUGCGUAGAUAUCUG